UUUCAUUCGUUCAGAUGAUUUCUUUGGAAAGAGAAACUAAAAGCCGGUUCCAGCUCAGUUUUCCUGAUCCAGGUUUUACUCUACUACAAGACUUGGCCGCUCACAUGGAAGACCUCGAUGGUUUUAAGAAGAAGUUUGGAAAUCUCUUGCCGUUGAUGAAAGUGAAGGUGGGUAGCAUGGCUUUGAGUGUUCUUUCACAUUUCUAUGACCCAACGUACCAUUGUUUCACUUUUCC
rnacentral:lncRNA from 1 species